rnacentral:lncRNA from 1 species
GACACUUAAUGUUCUUAAAUCAGCUGCAAAAGUUCCAUCUCUCAAAAGAGUGGUCUUAACAUCUUCCAUAGCUGCAGUUGUGUGCGGUGUAAAACCUCUCGAGUCUGGUGUUUUGGUGGAUGAAACCUGGUUUUCAGAUCCGGAAACCUGUGAACAACAAGAGGUAUAUAUAUAUAAAAUUGUUUUUUAAACUUUAACUUCUUUAUUAAUCAAAUACUAUUUUGUAUUUUACAGUUAUGGUAUCCCCUUGCAAAGACCCUGGCUGAGAAUGCUGCAGUAGAAUUUUCUAAAAAUAACAGUCUCGAGUUGGUGGUUAUAAAUCCCGGGUUUGUCAUCGGCCCUAUUUUACAACCAACUCUCAACAUCUCUUCUGAGGGCUUUAUCGGUUUAAUUGAAACUGGUAAUUGUCUUCAACAACUAAUAUUCAUAUGUAUGAUUGAUCGAUUCAUAGUCUAAAUUUUUAUGUUGUGCAAGGUGUUGAAUGAUGUAUUAUGUUAUUAUGUAUAUGCAGGAAAGGAAAUAUUCCCAGAUGGAAUUUAUGCACUUGUUGAUGUGAGAAAUGUUGCUAACGCUCAUAUUUUAGCAUUUGAGAACCCCCAAGCAAAUGGAAGAUACUUAAUAGUUGCAGAUGUAUAUCACUCUUCAGAUAUCAUGAAGAUCAUAAACCAAAACUAUCCUGCUCUUGUCUCUUCUGAAAGGUAGGGGUGUUUUUAACAUUAUAUGGACCCCAAAAAAUUCCAAAUCUGGAAUACUUAUUUUUUUAUUUAAAUUUUGACAGGUUUAAAGACAGCAAAUAUGUUGGGACACCACCUUUCGUUGCAUCAAGAACAAAGGCAGAAAGUUUAGGCGUUAAGUUUACUACAGUUGAGGAAAGCAUCAAGGACACUGUUGAAAGCCUAAAAGAGAAGAAGUUCUUAAGCUUCUAAAACACAAGAUGAUGUUCAUGGAUUUGUUGCAAUAAUCAUAUGAACAAUGUAUUGUAUUAUACUGUUUUCAACUCUGUUAUAAACGAAAUACAAUGAUCCUGUUACACAAAUUAUCAAAAAAAAACUGGACCACAUGGUUAUGAGUGUAUGACGUUUUAAAAUCUACAUUUUGAUAUACAUAUAGUUUUUUUUUCACUUUAUGACAACACUUUAACUCAUCCAUAACUUCAAAACUCUAUCUCUACCAACCGAUGCAACUUUCUCUUUCUCACCAUGAGGACUCCAAUCCACAGCAAAAACCUAAAAACAUAUGGAAAAGAAAAAUACUACUUUCUUAUUUGAGUUUUUGGAUUAUUAUCUUUUUUCCUGAUGCAUCUUCCAUUUAUCUUUGAAGUAAAACAAAACAAAAAAAGGAAAUAAAAACAAACCUCAUCUGCAUGACCUGGAAGAUCUUGCUUCAAUUUCUUUCCCUCACAUCCCAAACGUAAAAAACAUAUGUAAAACAUCAUAACUAUUUAUCAUGUAAAAGAAGAAAAUGAAAAAGAAAACACUUGAUUUUGCCUUGAGGGUAGUCCUUGCUACUGGAAACUAACAAAAGAGAAGUAAGGUUUUUAUAUUGACAUAAUCAGUGUUACAAAAAAGAAAGCUAGAGAAAACAAUAUAAAUAAAGAGAAAAAUGGACUAAGGUUUGCUAAAGGGCUAAACAAGGUCCAAACACAAAAUGAACCCAAACAAUCUAUUAGGCUAAUAGCUACCACUCAAAAGAAGUCUACUUUCAGCAGCAGACCAAUUGCACCAAAUCCGUACAAUGUGUGAGAAGCUAAACGAAGAUAAUAUUGUCAAAUUCAUAUAGUAUAAGUUGAAUAAAAUUUAAACCUUAUUUGUUAAACACAAGAUCUUCGUGUAGUGGCGAGACUAUGCACAUUGGUGGGUCCCUCACCCACCUAUUUUUUUUAUAUAUAAUUCGUGUAGUGGCGAGGCUAUGCACAUCGGUGGGUCCCCUCACCCACCUAUUUUUUUAUAAAACCAUGUAGUUUAAUAUUCUAGACCGCCACUGCCCACGUGACCUUUCGUUUGAUACCAUCUAAGAUAUAUGUGUAGUCCAAAAUUGUCUCUAUAAAAAAAAUCAUUAUGAAGAGAAUGGAGACUUCAUCAUAUAUAGAUACUUAUAAGAUAGUGUGGCACCAAUGUGGGAUACUCAAACAGUAACAUCCUUCAUCUUCACUUCUUUCUCCUCCAUUACCAUACUGUCGACGCCUCUUCGCCCUUCAUCUAUGUUGUCCACCCUCUCCUGAUUCUUGAAAAACACUACACCACGCCACCAUGAUCGCUUCACCUAGUCUCGUACACCAUGACACCACCAUCAUCCCACUCCUGCCACCCCAUCAAGAAUAAUUGUGAUUCUAGAUAACUGUAUUUGCUAAAUUAAUGAUCGACAAAACCCUAGAAUUUAGGAUUCAUGAAUAAUCUUUUAAUUUGAAGCUUAUGUCACCAUUUAACCGAUUGAAAUUGUUGUUUCUUUUGAUGUUGUAGGUUAAUGAUUUUGAAUAUGAUUUUUUAGGUUUCUAGUUUUGAACGUAUGUUUUGUUGUCUUAAAUAUGUUUUAUUAUUGCUUUGAUUUUAAUUUUGUGGCGGUAUACAAUGGAGGAAGUGGCGCCGUUGAAUGGUGGCGGGGUUGAGCGACGAAUCACGGUGGGUAGUGUAUCCCUUAAUUCUUAAAAAUUGUUAAUAAAAUUUAAAAAGCACAAGACAUAAAGAUAAAACAUGGAUAAAUUUGUCAUUUUAUAUGUUAACGGAGGACCAUUAACAGUAAAAGUCAGAGCCUAUAAGGACCAUUGAAACCACGAGGACGAUCAUAACAAUUUUAAAAUUUAGAACAAACUUGCAGAUGAAGCAUCCACCAUGGUGAGUUCAAUGAGAGAGUUGAAUUAGGUGUUAAGUUUAGUUGUCAUUCAAUAGAUGAAACUCUACCAUAGUGAGAUGUCACAUUGGCAUUCAAUGAAUUUGAAGUUCAAUGACCAUUGAACUUUUCAAUGGGAAAAAUGAAAGUUUUUUAACGUUAAAUACAUGCUAUAAAUUAGCUUUUGUAACUUUCUAUUGAACUUUGUAGAGUUGAAUGCAUUGUAGGAAAAAAUUGAUUGAGUUGUAUGGAAUAUAGAAAAAUGAUGUGGCAAUCCAUUGCACUCUAUAAAAUUCAAUGCAUUAUGAAAAGUGCGAACCACACAACUAAACUGCCAUUUACUAAAAAAACCACCAAAAACAUGUCAAAUGAGGCAUGUAUUUUUUUUCCUUUUUUGUUUUUUUCAUUAAGGCCCAUGCUAAAGGUGGCGGCACUUUCCAUUGAUUCUCCUAUAUAUACCAAUUGAUUCUCCAAUAUACAAAAUUACAAAGUGUCCCUCUCUUCGUAGUCCAACAAACUCCCCGGUUUCAGAGAGAUGAUCGGAGAAGGUAAGGUAGUCUGUGUUACAGGAGCUUCGGGAUUCAUAGCUUCAUGGCUCGUCAAGCUCUUGCUUCAGCGUGGCUACACUGUUCAUGCUACUGUCCGAUCCCUUGGUUAGCUUCUCCUGCUCAACUAAUUUUGACUUUUAAUCUGCUAUCAUUUCAAAACCUUAGGAACCUACAUUUCUACCUUCUGUACGGAUGAAAAAUUCGUUGUUUAUGCUAUUUUCUGCAUUCGAAUCCAAUCCAACUACUGGCUUUAUUGAAUAAUUAAUUAGAAUCAGAUUGUUAUUGCGUGACCAAAAUUGACCCAUCUCUUAUCCCUGUUAGUGUUUAAGAGGUAUUCAGAUUGUUGAUUUGAGGUCUACGUAGUGAGUUUUGUAAUCAAUAUUCCGACCGACUUUGCAUCAACUGGUUGACCUUUUUCAUUCUUGACAUUUGUUUAUGUUUGAUUUGUUCUGAUUCCAUUGAAAUGUGGUGCAGAUGAUCCUAAAAAGACAAAACACCUACUGGAUUUUGAUGGAGCUAUGGAAAGGCUUUCUUUGUUUGAAGCUAGCUUGCUUGAAGAAGGAUCUUUCGAAUCUGCUGUUAAUGGUUGUCAAUGUGUCUUCCAUACAGCAUCACCUAUUAUGUUUCCAGUUUCUGGCCAACAGGUUGCUUUUCCUUCUUUUGCUCUCAAUUAACUUUCCCAUAUCUUAUCAACACAAAUAUGAUACAAUUCCUGAAUUGUUUCUUUUUUUCUUAAUUUCUAUUAGGCACAAUUGCUAGAACCUGCAGUGAAGGGGACACUUAAUGUCCUUAAAUCAUCUGCAAAAGUUCCAUCUCUCAAAAGAGUGGUCUUGACAUCUUCCAUAGCUGCAGUUCUAUUUGGUGCAAAACCUCCUGAGUUUGGUGCUGUGGCGGAUGAAACCUGGUUUUCAGAUCCUGAAACUUGUGAACAAAGAGAGGCAUAAUUGUUUUAAACCUUUAUUAUGUAGUUAGGGUCUCAUUUCUUUAUUAAUCAAAUACUAUUUUUGUAUUUUACAGUUAUGGUAUCCCCUUUCGAAGACACUGGCUGAGAAUGCUGCAGUAGAAUUUGCUAAAAAUAAAGGUCUCGAGUUGGUGGUUAUAAAUCCCGGGUUUGUCAUCGGCCCUAUUUUACAACCAACUCUCAACAUCUCUUCUGAGGGCUUUAUCGGUUUAAUUGAAACUGGUAAUUGUCUUCAACAACUAAUAUUCAUAUGUAUGAUUGAUCGAUUCAUAGUCUAAAUUUUUAUGUUGUGCAAGGUGUUGAAUGAUGUAUUAUGUUAUUAUGUAUAUGCAGGAACGGAAUUUCUCCCAUAUGGAAUUAUCAACUUGUUGAUGUGAGAGAUGUUGCUAAUGCUCAUAUUUUAGCAUUUGAGAACCCCCAAGCAAAUGGAAGAUACAUUAUGGCUGCAGAUGUAUAUCACUCUUCAGAUAUCAUGAAGAUCAUAAACCAAAACUAUCCCGCUUUUGACUAUUCUGAAAGGUAAUUAAGUUAUAACCUAUUAUUAGGUUCAUUUUAACUUUAUAUAUAUGAACCCAAAAAAGGCAAAAUCUGAAAUACUUGUUUCUUUAUUUAAAUUUUGACAGGUAUAAAGACAGCAAGUAUGUUGGGACACCAAAUUACUUUGUAUCGAGAACAAAGGCAGAAAGUUUAGGCGUUAAGUUUACUACAGUUGAGGAAAGCAUCAAGGACACUGUUGAAAGCCUAAAAGAGAAGAAGUUUCUAAGCUUCUAAAACACCGGAUGAUGUUUUCUAGAUUUGUUUGAAGUUACCACAUGAACAAUGUCAAUAUUGUACGGUGUCUACUGUUUUCGACCCUGUUAUAAAAAAUAAAAAAUAAAUACAGUGAUCAUGUUACACAUAUUAUCAAAAAACGGAACCACAUGGUUUGUCACACUUGGAAACUACCUAAAUUAUGCAAAAUUCAAAAUACCACUGCCCAAAUUUGCAGUUUAGGAGUGUAUAGAUGAUGCUUUAAAAUCUGCAUCUUGAUAUGUAUAGCAUCGUACUCCUAUGGGAGCUGAUCCGUACACAACAAGAUUUAUCCAUACACAACAAAUUUUAAUAAAUAGACAAUUUUAACCUUUUCUCUAUUUAACCAAAUUUUACACUUUACCCCUUGCUGUGAAGCCACAAAGAUGUACAGUAAACGAUCAAAAAACUAGAACUUCAUUCCAAAUAAGUUCACAUUGAUGUUUGGAUUUGAAGACUGGAUAUAAAUUAGAAAAUUUGAUAACCAUAGACUGAUACAAUAUUGUGCAAGAAACUAUACAAAAUUAGAACAUUGAUAUUAUACAGGGACGAUCACAAAAUAGAAUCAUGAUUAAGCAAUUAUAAAUCAAUUCAUGAUUAUAUAGGAAAUGAUUUCAAAUCAGUUCACAGUUCCAAAUUCGUGCUUUUGCAAACUAGAUAAGAGACGCAUUGAGGUUGCAAUUGUACUGGAACGAUCAGAAAAUUGAAUCCAUAAUUAAUCAAAUCAAAAUCAGUUCAUGAUUUUAGAAGAAAAGAUUGUAAAUUAGUUCACAAUUCCAACUUAGUGCUUUUGCAAAUAAGAUAAGAGACACACUGAUACAGGGAAACGGUCAAAAUUAGAAACAAAAUCGCAAUUGUAACGAAAAUUAGCGCGUACCUAUGAAGCAAGCCUGAAGCAGUUGAUGAACGACGGCAGUGGGAUAAGCCGGAGGCUACAGAGACGAUGAAGCAAGCCGGAGGCGGCAACAAGGUGAAGCAAGCAGUGGACGAUGAUUGAAUUGAAUCCGUAUCUUAUCG